UCCUGGUGUAGCGGUGGAAUGCGCAGAUAUCAGGAGGAACACCGAUGGCGAAGGCAGGUCUCUGGNCAGUAACUGACGCUGAGGAGCGAAAGCAUGGGGAGCGAACAGGAUUAGAUACCCUGGUAGUCCAUGCUGUAAACGGUGGGCGUUAGGUGUGGGGACCGGUUUGGUUUCUGUGCCGUAGCUAACGCAUUAAGCGCCCCGCCUGGGGAGUACGGCAGCAAGGCUAAAACUCAAAGGAAUUGACGGGGGCCCGCACAAGCGGCGGAGCAUGCGGAUUAAUUCGAUGCAACGCGAAGAACCUUACCUGGGUUUGACAUGCACCAGACGGUUGUAGAGAUACGUACCUCCCUUUGUGGUUGGUGUGCAGGUGGUGCAUGGUUGUCGUCAGCUCGUGUCGUGAGAUGUUGGGUUAAGUCCCGCAACGAGCGCAACCCUUGUCUUAUGUUGCCAGCACUUUGGGUGGGGACUCAUGAGAAACUGCCGGGGUUAACUCGGAGGAAGGUGGGGAUGACGUCAAAUCAUCAUGCCCUUUAUGCCCAGGGCUUCACACAUGCUACAAUGGUUAGUACAACGCGCUGCAAGCCUGUGAGGGUGAGCGAAUCGCUGAAAGCUAAUCUCAGUUCGGAUUGGGGUCUGCAACUCGACCCCAUGAAGUCGGAGUCGCUAGUAAUCGCAGAUCAGCAAUGCUGCGGUGAAUACGUUCCCGGGCCUUGUGCACACC
rnacentral:rRNA from 1 species